UGUGGUGUCAGACAGAGUUGUUGUUGAUGCAUGAGUUGUUGUUGAAACUGGCGCUACAGUUGAGGAUGUUGUAGGAGUGAAUGUAGAAGCCAAAGUUGUUGUUGCAUCUAUCAUUGUUGUGGUAUCAGGAAUACUUGUGGUUGCUGCAUCAGAUGUUGUUGACGUUGGUUCAACCGUUGAGGAUGUUGAAAAGGUGGUUGGGGAAGCCAAAGAUGUUGUUGUAUCAAUUGUUGUUGUGGUGUCAGGCACAAUUGUGGUUGAUGCAUCAGUGGUUGACAUUAGAGGGGUGGUUGUGGAAUCCAAAUUGUUGUUACAUCAGUAAUUGUAGUGGUGUCAGACAGAGUGGUGGUUGCUGUUUCAGUUGUUGAAAUUGGUGCAAUAUUAGAGGAUGUUGGAGCAGUGGUUGUGAGAGCCAAAGUUGUUGUUGUAUCAGUUGUUGUUGUUGUUGUGGUGUCAGACAGAGUUGUUGUUAAUGCAUCAGUUGUUGUUGAUACUGGCGCUACAGUUGAGGACGUUGUAGGAGUGAUUGUGGAAGCCAAAGUUGUUGUUGCAUCUAUCAUUGUUGUGGUAUCAGGAAUACUUGUGGUUGCUGCAUCAGAUGUUGUUGACGUUGGUUCAACCGUUGAGGAUGUUGAAAAGGUGGUUGUGGAAGCCAAAGAUAUUAUUGUAUCAACUGUUGUUGUAUCAAUUGUUGUUGUGGUGUCAGACAUAGUUGUUGUUGAUGCAUCAAUUGUUGUUGAUACUGGCGCUACAGUUGAGGAUGUUGUAGGAAUGAUUGUGGAAGCCAAAGUUGUUGUUGCAUCUAUCAUUGUUGUGGUAUCAGGAAUACUUGUGGUUGCUGCAUUAGAUGAUGUUGACGUUGGUUUAACCGUUGAGGAUGUUGAAAAGGUGGUUGUGGAAGCCAAAGAUAUUAUUGUAUCAAUUGUUGUUGUAUCAAUUGUUGUUGUGGUGUCAGACAUAGUUGUUGUUGAUGCAUGAGUUGUUGUUGAAACUGGCACUACAGUUGAGGAUGUUGUAGGAAUGAUUGUGGAAGCCAAAGUUGUUGUUGUAUCAAUUGUUGUUUUGGUGUCAGGCAUAGUUGUGGUUGCUGCAUCAGAUUUGAUGCUGGUGCCAUAGUGGUCAUGUCAGAGGUGUGGUUGUGGAAGAGAAAAUUGUUGUUGCAUCAGUUGUUGUUGUGGUGUCAGCCAGAGUUGCUGUUGAUGCAUCGGUUGUUGUAGCAAAAGUUGUAGUUGCAUCAAUAGUUGUUGUGGAGUCAGCUGUAGUUGUGGUUGCUCCCUCUAUUUUUGACACUAUAGUUGAGGAUUUUGGAGGGGUGGUUGUGGAAGCCAAACUUGUUGCAUCAGUAGUUAUUGUGGCGUCAGACAGCGUUGUGGUUGAUGCAUCAGUUAUUGAUGCUGGUUCUAUAGUUGAGGAUGUUGGGGGGGGGGUUGUGUAAGCCAGCUUUUUUGUUGAAUAAAUAGUUGUUAUGGUGUCAGGCAUAGUUGUGGUUGAUGCAUCUGUUGUUGACAUUGGAAUGGUGGUUGUAGAAGCCAAAUUUGUUUUUCUAUCAAUAGUUAUAGUGGUGUCAAUUAUUGUGGUUACUGCAUCAGUUGUUGAAGUUGCUGCUGUAUUUGAGGAUGAUGGAGGAGUUGUUGUGGAAGCCAUAUUUUUUGUUUCAUCUGUAGUUGUAGUACUGUCAAACAGAGUUAUUGUUGCUUCAUCCGUUGUUGUUGAUGUUGGUACUACAGUUGAAUAUGAUGGAGAGGUGGUGUCUGUAUCAGUCAUCAAUUUUGGUGCUAUAGUUGAGGAUGCUGAAAACAUGCUUUUUGUAUCCAAAGUUGUUGUUUCCAUUAUAGUUGUAGUUGUAUAAAUUGUUUUUGAUUGGGCUGUUUUUGUGUCUUUUGGAUCCUUUUUUUUUGUGAUUUCAGAAAUUGGUGUUGAUGUUAAAUCUUGAAUUUUUAUUGUUGAUUGCACAUCUUUUGCUGUAGAAGCCCCGGUUUCUGUAGUAACUGGUGUGGUAUAGUCUGAUGUCCUUCGACCUGAUUCUGUAGAUUUUCCAAGUCCUGUCGUACAUCCAUAAACCAUCCACCAGAUACAGACUGUGAAAAGAGAUAUUUCAU
ensembl:lncRNA